CCUACGGGAGGCAGCAGUGAGGAAUAUUGGUCAAUGGACGAGAGUCUGAACCAGCCAAGUAGCGUGAAGGAUGACUGCCCUAUGGGUUGUAAACUUCUUUUAUAAAGGAAUAAAACGAGGCACGUGUGCCUUUUUGCAUGUACUUUAUGAAUAAGGAUCGGCUAACUCCGUGCCAGCAGCCGCGGUAAUACGGAGGAUCCGAGCGUUAUCCGGAUUUAUUGGGUUUAAAGGGAGCGUAGAUGGGUUGUUAAGUCAGUUGUGAAAGGUUGCGGCUCAACCGGAAAAUUGCAAUUGAUACUGGCAGUCUUGAGUACAGUUGAGGGAGGCGGAAUUCGUGGUGUAGCGGUGAAAUGCUUAGAUAUCGAGAAGAACCCCGAUGGCGAAGGCAGCUUACUAAACUGUGACUGACAUUGAUGCUCGAAGGUGUGGGUAUCAAAAAGGAUUAGAUACCCGAGUAGUC
rnacentral:rRNA from 1 species